rnacentral:lncRNA from 1 species
UCCCUUUCACCGUCAUCCAUGAGAAGACACAGUGUUCCAUCCAGAGGAUGUAGCAUCAAGGCGUCAUCUUAAAAGCAGAGAAAAGACUCUUACUUGACACCAGAUGCCAGUGCAUUGAUCUUGGACUUCCCAGCCUCUAGAACUGUAAACAGCCCUGGGACAAAGAACAGACUACGGGUAUUGCCUUCUUAAUCAACAAUAAAGUAUUAGUUGGCUUCCAGGCAGACACCACUGACUUUCAAGAGAAAGGCACGGGAGUAAGGAAGUAAAGAAUUCAGGUGCUGCUUGAAAAUACAACAAACUGUCUUCAGAAUACUUUUAUGUGUUGUUGAAAGAAAGCACUGCAGCUAAUAUAGCUACAAAGGAGAAACAGUUAUUCUUAAAUGUCAUCUAUUUGCUGGACCUGAACAGGAAUUCACUAUGGAGCUCAUACAACUACCACCUUCAGCUAUUAAUCAAGGAGUCAUUCAACUGAGAAAGGGGAGAUUGAGAUGUUGAAUCAUUUCUCAUUCUGUGAAGUCUACCAGAAUAACCCAUAAAGCAAAUAUCAACCUAUUUCAAUUAGAAAAAUGAAAAAUACUGAUACAGCAGACGAAUUCUGGAACUAACACUUCCACAAAUCAUUGAUAAUCCAUUUUCCAACUUCUUCAAAUUCCAGACCAUCAACAAGCUAUUCAAAACAAUAAAUGUUAAUAGUUUUGGUGGAGUUAAGCAGCAGAAGUUAAAAGCAUUGUGGAAGACAGUAUGGUGAUUCCUCAAGGAUCUAGAAGCGGAAAUACCAUUUGACCCAGCAAUCCCAU